AGUGAACGCUGGCGGUAGGCCUAACACAUGCAAGUCGAACGGCAGCACAGUAAGAGCUUGCUCUUACGGGUGGCGAGUGGCGGACGGGUGAGGAAUACAUCGGAAUCUACUUUUUCGUGGGGGAUCACGUAGGGAAACUUACGCUAAUACCGCAUACGACCUACGGGUGAAAGCAGGGGAUCUUCGGACCUUGCGCGAUUGAAUGAGCCGAUGUCGGAUUGGCUAGUUGGCGGGGUAAAGGCCCACCAAGGCGACGAUCCGUAGCUGGUCUGAGAGGAUGAUCAGCCACACUGGAGCUGAGACACGGACCAGACUCCUACGGGAGGCAGCAGUGGGGAAUAUUGGACAAUGGGCGCAAGCCUGAUCCAGCCAUACCGCGUGGGUGAAGAAGGCCUUCGGGUUGUAAAGCCCUUUUGUUGGGAAAGAAAAGCAGCAGGUUAAUACCCCGCUGUUCUGACGGUACCCAAAGAAUAAGCACCGGCUAACUUCGUG
rnacentral:rRNA from 1 species